rnacentral:rRNA from 1 species
UACGUAGGGUGCGAGCGUUAAUCGGAAUUACUGGGCGUAAAGCGUGCGCAGGCGGUUCGUUGUGUCCGAUGUGAAAUCCCCGGGCUCAACCUGGGAAUUGCGAUGGAGACUGCAAGGCUAGAAUCUGGCAGAGGGGGGUAGAAUUCCACGUGUAGCAGUGAAAUGCGUAGAGAUGUGGAGGAACACCGAUGGCGAAGGCAGCCCCCUGGGUCAAG